AUCUAUGGGCAUACCAUUCUGAACGCACCCGACCUCAUCUGAUUCCGGAAGCUAAGCAGGGUUGGGCCUUGUUAGUACUUGGAUGGGAGAAUACUCUUAGAAUUAUAAGAAUUUUUCUGAGGUC
rnacentral:rRNA from 1 species